rnacentral:rRNA from 1 species
AUUGAACGCUGGCGGCAGGCCUAACACAUGCAAGUCGAGCGGAUGAAGGGAGCUUGCUCCUGGAUUCAGCGGCGGACGGGUGAGUAAUGCCUAGGAAUCUGCCUGGUAGUGGGGGAUAACGUCCGGAAACGGGCGCUAAUACCGCAUACGUCCUGAGGGAGAAAGUGGGGGAUCUUCGGACCUCACGCUAUCAGAUGAGCCUAGGUCGGAUUAGCUAGUUGGUGGGGUAAAGGCCUACCAAGGCGACGAUCCGUAACUGGUCUGAGAGGAUGAUCAGUCACACUGGAACUGAGGCACGGUCCAGACUCCUCCGGGAGGCAGCAGUGGGGAAUAUUGGACAAUGGGCGAAAGCCUUAUCCAGCCAUGCCGCGUGUGUGAAGAAGGUCUUCGGAUUGUAAAGCACUUUAAGUUGGGAGGAAGGGCAGUAAGUUAAUACCUUGCUGUUUUGACGUUACCAACAGAAUAAGCACCGGCUAACUUCGUG